GUUUCCGUUGUGUAGCGGUUAUCACGUGUGCUUCACACGCACAAGGUCCCCGGUUCGAUCCCGGGCGGAAACA
rnacentral:tRNA from 2 species